rnacentral:lncRNA from 1 species
ACUUCCCGGGCAGCCGCCGAGGGGGGCUCCCUGGGGUGGGUGAGCCGGGAGAUGGGGGCAGCGGCAGAGAGACAGACCGUCCUGGAGAACAAGCACCCACUGUGUGCUCCGAGUGCAGUUGAGGCCGCUCCCGCUGGACCCCGGCGUGUUGUCCGCGCUGCCUGACCCAGAGAAGGCGCCCAGAGCACAGACUGCAUUCUGAUCGAGCAGGAUGUAACAGACUCUACUACACAGCAGUGUACCAGGAUUUUCCCAGCAUCAAGUCUUUCCACUUCUUAUUCUUCACAACAUCCGGAGGUGGGUACUACUGGAGCUGCCUUACAGAUGAAGAGACUGAGGUUCAGAGAGGAAGAAUCGCACGCUCCAGCUCACAAGGGCUGAUAGAACCUGCUGUGUACAAGCCCUACUCCAUAUGAGAGCAGUUCCUCUGCACAAUAGCCCAGUAAAGGGCUUAAAUGACAAGAUCCAAACUCAAACCACCCAGAACUAAUACCACAGAGUCAAAGUAUGAUCGGCCUAGGGCUUUGGGGUCCAGGUCCUAUCAUGUUAACCUCCCCUUAAAGACCAGGAAACAGAGCCUCAGAAAGGUGCUUGAUAUCAAGAUCAUAAGAUUAAACCUCCUGCUACCACUGCCAUACUGAUUUCCUGGGUGUUCAACAACGGAGUGUUGGAGCCUAAAGCUAGAAAGAGCCAAGAGAGCCAGAGAGGCUGACUGUGUUUGCCUGGGACAUCUUGGGAGCAUAAGUAUGC